rnacentral:rRNA from 1 species
AGAGUUUGAUCCUGGCUCAGAUUGAACGCUGGCGGCAGGCUUAACACAUGCAAGUCGAGCGGUAACAGAGAUAGCUUGCUAUCUGCUGACGAGCGGCGGACGGGUGAGUAAUGCUUGGGAAUAUGCCUUAUGGUGGGGGACAACAGUUGGAAACGACUGCUAAUACCGCAUAACGUCUACGGACCAAAGGGGGGGAUCUUCGGACCUCUCGCCAUUUGAUUAGCCCAAGUGAGAUUAGCUAGUUGGUGAGGUAAUGGCUCACCAAGGCGACGAUCUCUAGCUGGUUUGAGAGGAUGAUCAGCCACACUGGGACUGAGACACGGCCCAGACUCCUACGGGAGGCAGCAGUGGGGAAUAUUGCACAAUGGGCGAAAGCCUGAUGCAGCCAUGCCGCGUGUGAAGAAGGCCUUCGGGUUGUAAAGCACUUUCAGUUGUGAGGAAAGGGUGUUGGUUAAUAGCCAAUAUCUGUGACGUUAACAACAGAAGAAGCACCGGCUAACUUCGUGCCAGCAGCCGCGGUAAUACGAGGGGUGCAAGCGUUAAUCGGAAUUACUGGGCGUAAAGCGUUCGUAGGCGGUCUAUUAAGCAAGAUGUGAAAGCCCAGGGCUCAACCUUGGAACUGCAUUUUGAACUGGUAGACUAGAGUACUGUAGAGGGUGGUGGAAUUUCCAGUGUAGCGGUGAAAUGCGUAGAGAUUGGAAGGAACAUCAGUGGCGAAGGCGGCCACCUGGACAGAUACUGACGCUGAGGAACGAAAGCGUGGGGGGCGAACAGGAUUAGAUACCCUGGUAGUCCACGCCGUAAACGAUGUCAACUAGCCGUUUGUGGACUUGAUCCGUGAGUGG